GUUUACCUAGAUGUUUAUAACCAUUAGCUCUAAUACCACAUGUAAACAUGAUUUUACAUGAAACCUAAGAUGUUUAACAUCUAGACUGAUCACAUAAUGGAACUAUAAAGAGGAUAUCGGAAUACUUCGAUUCUUCGUUUGCAGAAAUCUUCUUGAACGGUUUCGAUUAUGGAAGAUGAGUUAUUGAUCUUUAAGUUGGAGUUGAGACUUCUCUCCUCUUACCGACACAAAUUUC
rnacentral:lncRNA from 1 species